AAAGUCGUAACAAGGUUUCCGUAGGUGAACCUGCGGAAGGAUCAUUACAGAGUAAACUUGGUGGGUUGUUGCUGGCUCUCAAUUGAGCAUGUGCACGCCUGUCAUAUUUAUCUUUCCACCAUGUGCACUUUUUGUAGGUCUAGAAUAGACAUUAAGCCUAGUCACUUGUGGGCUACUGGAAUGUUGCUGAUAAUAUCAGCUCUUUCUGCUAUUGGCUGUCUUUUCCAGGCUCUACGAUUUAUCUAUAAAACACCAUGUAUGUCAAUGAACGUAAUCAAUGGGCCCACAAAGCCUAUAAACCUAUAAUACAACUUUCAGCAACGGAUCUCUUGGCUCUC
rnacentral:misc_RNA from 1 species